UUUAUUUCUUUUACAGGCAAAUAAUUUUUUAAAAAAUAAUAUAACUCGUGAUUUAAGCUAUUAUGAAUAGGAGCUUCCAAAAAUAGGUUUAAGGUUUAAGGUUUAAGUGAAAGCUGAUAAUAAAGGAGAAAAUGCAUGAAUAAAAGAAUGAUAAUAACAAGCUGCAAAAGUAUAAAAAUGGUACAAAUGUUCAAAGGAGGUCAGAAGCAGUGACACGAUGGAUUUUCAUGAACAUUCACUUGGUAAGGCACAAUUAUUAUUAGGGUCAGCCAGAUUACAUAUUUAGGCCUCAGGCCUGUGAGCUCAUGCUAAUUUGAACAGCUGUUCAAAAGAAGUUCAUCGCUAUUUGACAGAUGGAGAAAAUGAUACUCACUAAUGGCCCAAGUUGCUUUGACACAGACUGAUUUCCCUAUUGCUAAAACUUACUUGCAGUAUCAAUUGCAAAUAGCUUUGACAAUUUGAACCUGUUCUUCAGUGCUGACAUCCUUAGGAAGAACUUUUCAAAAUCAUAGACCCUAAUUUGAAAGAAUAUUAUGGUUAUUGUAGCCAACUUCCCCUUAUUCUCUUCUAAACAAGAAUUGAGAAGUGGUAAACUGUGGGUCAGAUACAUAUUCCCACUGUUUGAAGGAGAUUGUUAGUCACCUUUGUUGCUGAUUGUCAUUAUUUGGAGCUGAUCUCUCCUACCUUUGGAAAUAAAGGGGAUGAUUGCAUUUUAUUCACAAGAAAGGGAUUUAUAACAUUUAUCAUGUUGGAAGAAACAGCUGUUUCUCUUUACUACAGCAUUUGCUUUCUUUCAUCACAUAAGAAGUCAGCUGGGAGAUGCUACUAAAUGUUGC
rnacentral:lncRNA from 1 species